GGGUCUGUAGCUCAGUGGUAGAGCGCUCGGCUGCAGUCCGAGUGGUCGCGAGUUCGACUCUCGUCGGGCCCU
rnacentral:tRNA from 1 species